UACGUAGGGGGCAAGCGUUGUCCGGAUUUAUUGGGCGUAAAGAGCGUGUAGGCGGUUUGGUAGGUCCGUUGUGAAAACUCGAGGCUCAACCUCGAGACGCCGAUGGAAACCAUCAGACUAGAGUCCGGAAGAGGAGAGUGGAAUUCCUGGUGUAGCGGUGAAAUGCGCAGAUAUCAGGAAGAACACCCGUGGCUAAGGCGGCUCUCUAGUACGGUACUGACGCUGGGACGCGAAAGCGUGGGGAGCGAACAGG
rnacentral:rRNA from 1 species